rnacentral:piRNA from 1 species
UUNCAUGGAUUUAGCCUAUGUGAGCAGC